GACGAACGCUGGCGGCGUGCUUAACACAUGCAAGUCGAACGGAAAGGCCCUGCUUUUGUGGGGUGCUCGAGUGGCGAACGGGUGAGUAACACGUGAGUAACCUGCCCUUGACUUUGGGAUAACUUCAGGAAACUGGGGCUAAUACCGGAUAGGAGCUCCUGCUGCAUGGUGGGGGUUGGAAAGUUUCGGCGGUUGGGGAUGGACUCGCGGCUUAUCAGCUUGUUGGUGGGGUAGUGGCUUACCAAGGCUUUGACGGGUAGCCGGCCUGAGAGGGUGACCGGCCACAUUGGGACUGAGAUACGGCCCAGACUCCUACGGGAGGCAGCAGUGAGGAAUAUUGCACAAUGGGCGGAAGCCUGAUGCAGCAACGCCGCGUGCGGGAUGACGGCCUUCGGGUUGUAAACCGCUUUCGCCUGUGACGAAGCGUGAGUGACGGUAAUGGGUAAAGAAGCACCGGCUAACUACGU
rnacentral:rRNA from 1 species